rnacentral:lncRNA from 1 species
CCUUGCACGAGGAUUUGGGCCUUGCACGAGGAUCAGGCCUUGUACAAGGAUCAGGCCUUGCACGAGGAUCAGGCCUUGCACGAGGAUUUGGGCCUUGCACGAGGAUCAGGCCUUGCACGAGGAUCAGGCCUUGCACAAGGAUUUGGGCCUUGUACAAGGAUUUGGGCCUUGCACGAGGACAAUCCUUGCACGAGGAUUUGCUCACUUGAAGUGGAAUUUGCACGAGGAUUUGGGCCUUGCACGAGGAUCAGGCCUUGCACAAGGAUUUAGGCCUUGCACGAGGACAACCCUUACACGAGGAUUUGCUCACUUGAAGUGGAAUUUGCACGAGGAUUUGGGCCUUGCACGAGGCCGGGGCUCACACCCGGGCACGCUCCCCGCUCGUGCCAGGCCAGCCCCGGGAGUGAGCGUGAGUGUGAGCGUGAGUGUGAGCGUGAGCAGGGCUGGGGGUCUCGCACAGGGCCGUGCACGCUCGUGUGAGGCACGGGGAGGGGUCGGGGGCGUGCAAGGGGGGUUUGCACAAGGGUCGCCCCCAGUGCCACGCAGGGCCGGCGUGGAACGGC